CUACCUAUUAAUAAUUUUAACGACUUAGGUCUGUCACAGCCGGGAUUUGAACCCCAGCCUCCCGCAUGCGGGGUGAACGUCCAACCUCUCAGCAACCGUGAGGAUAUCAAGCUGCCUUCUUUUGACAAAUUCAUGAGGAUUUUGAUUUGCUCAAACAUUUUUUUACUAGUACCUGUCUGAUUUCUGGUCAUUCCAGCUCUCAUUGUCACUUUGGUUUUUCAGCUCCCUGGGCCUCUUGAGAUGGUGACACCCUACAGUAGGAGCAGUUCCUAUCGGUAUCUCUUAAAAGCAGACAGAGGUUCUCAUAGCAUCUGAUCCAUUGCUAGGGACAAACUUUUGUAUGGAGCUGGGUAGCAGUUACUUGAGAUGUCCGGCUGAUUGAUGAGGAUAAUUUCCCUGAGACUCUAACAUUUUGUAGGACUUGGAUAGCUCUAUUGCUGUAAAAAUUGUCAGGACGGUGGAGAUUUAGAUAAGUGGUGUGAUGUUAUUGAUGGUAAACAGAAGACUGUGACCUUGAAUCUGAAGAUCUGUGAUGAAGACUGGACGUUUGGGGUCACUCUCUGUUACAGUACUACAAAUCUAACAGUGUAACACUCAGCCACAAAGAGGUUGUCUCUGAUGUCCACACAUAAACCCCAUGGACGUUCUAAAUCACAGUGAAUGUAACGGAGGAACUGUCCGUCCUGAUCUAGGAUGUGGAUACGGUUAUUGUUAUAGUCUGCUGUCAGGAUGUGACUCUGGCUGUCUGUAGUGAUGCCGAAUGGAAUAAAUGAUUGCUUGGUAUUAGAGGGAUGACCAGUGUAUCUAAAUCGGAGUUUUCCUGACUGAUUGACCACCACUACUGCACUAGCUAAACAGUCAGCCACACAGAUAUCCAGGUUCUUGUUCUCACUGAGGUAUUUAGGGAAUGUAUCAGAUGAGUAGAGAGGACGACCCUGAUCAUCAAACUGAAUGCUUUGUUUCUCUGUGGAGCCGGAGUAACGCACGACUUUGGAUUGUUUUCUAUCAUCACUGAUCAUGGUAACCAGGAGGUCGUUACCCGCGGUACAGCAGACAUAGCGAGGUCUCCACCCCUGUAGUGUGAUCACGAAUGAGUUGAGUGGAAUAAUGAACCUCCAGAUGUCUAUGUACACAUGUAUGAAUAAACUGUUGUACUCGCGCAUGCGAGCUUAUCCUAUA